CAUAUGCUUGCUAUCUUCCCUAUAUGGAUGUUUUCGUACGUUUUUUUUUUUCUUCAUUGAUCUGCCGCAAAGACUCCAACCUUCUGAACAAUGAAGAGAUUGUGUGAACAAGCACCCUAGUGACACACCCAGGUGCGCCAAGGUCACAAAAUAAUGAGGAAUGACACUGCAGCUGAACAGGAGUGAGAAGACGAGUUCUUCACUUCACUGUUUUCCUGUUAAUACUCUUUCACUGAAAAUAUGAGAAACCUGGCACAUAAUUAUCUAAGCAAAAACAAUAUAGUCAGGCAGAACCAACAUAAUAGGAUAUUAAACUGGUAAAACAUAUUGAAAAUGUAGAUUAUAUGAAGUAUCCAUUUAGCAACGCAAUCAAAUGCAUUAAAUCAGACACACAAACACUUGACACUUCAAAUCCUGUUCAAAUCUGAUUACAGAAUAUUCAGAUUCGGAAAUCCUGCCAUGUAAACUCUGCAAUCAGAUUUGGGAAUUGGAUUUCUCGCCUUAAUCCGAUUCCAGGUAAUGGGAUAUGCGGAAGUGGGUUAUCCGAUUCAAAUCCUUUUCAAAUCUGAUGUAGCUGCCUUGUAAACAUAGUGAUCAGAUUACAAUAUUAUUAAUCCUUUUCAAAUCCGAUCUCGCUGUCUUGUAAACGCGGUGACCUCGUUCUCCAAAACAAGCGCAACCCACGUUAGUGGGCGUUUAUGUAAAAAAAAACAAGCGCUAUUCCCGUUUAUUAUAAGCAGACAUAUCAGCACUGACUACAAAUAUUAUUUCUGCAGUGCGCAAGUGUAUUAAAAAUCAGCGAGCAGUACUGCGCAUGAGCGUAAUUAUGUGUGCUGGGGUUGGUGAGCAUGAUGUCUCGUCAGAAGGAAUCUGCUUACUACUGGAGUGACGAGGGAACAGUUUUUCUUUUUCUUUAAUAAGAUGUAUCGACGAAUUAACACUAGAAGGACCGCGGCGGUCAUUUUGGCGGUUUUUGUUUUUAAAAUGUCAUUUUCUCCAGUCGUUGUAACACAUAUUUGGCUGUGCGUUUAUGUACCUUUAUGUCCGUAUGUAUAUCCUCACAAAGCAUGAAACGCGGGAGUGCAGAAGUAAAGGCGAUAUAUUACAUUAUACUUAAACGCCCCGGGAGCAGUCACAUUGACAACCACACAGAAAACAAUUGUAUUUUGAUUAGACAGAACGGUAUUCUACUUUAUUAUUUUUAUUUACCAGUCCGCAAUGUGUUUAGCUGUAAUCAGAUUAGUCUCUACUCUCUGCCUGAGUGAAUGACUGACAGUCUAUUGUUUUCAAAGCCUUUUGAAGGCUGUCGCCUGCUUGCCAGCUGCGUAGCUUUGGUCACUCAAAAUUAGCAUCGGGAUUAGUGAAAAUAAAUACCAGAGAAUGGAGUUUUACAACGCAACAAAAUAUGGAGUUGAUGUUUUGGAUCAGAUGAUAUGGAGGUAUUCCAUGAAAGCUGCUCCGACUGUGGUCUGUUCAGGUGUAUUGGACCUAGCAGCCAUCAACUCCUGCCUACUUUACAAAGAAUGCACGGAGAAGAAUUUACCAAGGAGACAAUAUAUUUUACAGUUAGCACAGGAACUUCGCAAGAAGCAUUUGGAACAGAGGGAGACUGCCAAGCGUGUACCCACAGCUGAAAAUGGCAACCCCGCUGAGAGCCGCAGGAGAUGCCAAUGCCAGGUUGACAAGUGCAAUAAAAAUAAAACUUCGGACAGCUGUGCCCUGUGCAGAAAGGUGGCGUGGAGAAGCGCAUUAUCUGUGUUGACUGUGAACAGCCUUAGA